CGCGCCGGAGGCUCCAGUCCGAGCCCAGCAUCACUCGUGGUGGUUUCGCGCGCGCAUCCCCCGCCAAGGUGCGACUACUUUUCGAGGAAAGGGAAAGAGAUUCCGUCCUGGCGAUUCCGCCACGCUUCCAACCCCUUUUUCACGCGACACCCCGAAACACGCCGCGAAACAAUCGACCGACUGUGUCAUCAAAAAGACGAGCAAAAUACGAGAAGAAAAGAAAAGAAGAGGGAAAGAAAUCGCAGCGCAUUGUUUCCGACGUGCUAUGAUCACCAGACGAAAGAAGGAUCCAGCGAACGUGAGUGGACACCGUGAAGCAGCACGAUCGUCGAACAUGUGAAGAAGAUGGAAAAAUCAGCGGCAAAAGGAUACGAAUCCUCGAGGAGGAAUAUAAAGUCAAAACUACGGGAGAAAAUAUUUGCGUUCUCGAGGGAAUCAACGAAACGUGUUGAAGAAAAAACGCGAGUGAUUGUUUUCGAGACUCGAAUGCGGUCAAUUGCCACGACUUUGUAAACACAAGUAUCAACGCGGGUUUUGUUUAUCCCUCGUUCAUUGGUGAGUCUUCUAGCCAUUCGUGUUCAGUGGCCUGGAAUCGAGAAAUCUCUGGAAUCUUCGUGUUUAUUCGCGCUCACGUUCCGUAAAGUAGCGCCUAGUAAGUGGAAACAGUCGCUGAGAUACAGACAAAGAGAGCCAGAGGACAAGGGACAUUGGCAAAAAUCGUUCCACAGGACGCGCAUCCUCGUGCGUGAUUUUACUCGUCGUUUCUCCAAGUGUGUGCGCGUUUCUUAUCGAACUGUUCGUCUUAAUGGAAGCCAGUACGAUCUUAGCCGCGUAGUUGGACGGACCGACGAAUCGUUGGUCGUUGAAUAUUCACCGUGGACGAGGGUGGACGAUCCACGAGCGGAAAGUUCUCACCUCGCAUCGUCGCUUAUAAUCACGUUAUGAAUGCACGACACGCCGUUCCGGCUUCGUAGCGGCGCAUCAUGCUCGGCUGCUUGAAUGUGCCAGUGCAAGUGCGAGAUCCGUGGUAUCGACCCGUCGAUCGCCGAUAAAUAAAUCGGGCCCCGUGUUUCGCGUAACGUGUUCCGCGGAAGGUGAUAAAGGGGAGAAACAUAUAGAGGAAGGAGAGAAAUUUUGCGUCAGAGUGAGAGAGCAAAAGUAUCGAGGGAAGAAAAGAGGAACGAAAUUAAAGUGCGCGCGGGUUGGUUACUGGGGCGCGAAUGAUUUGUAGGUCGGAUAUUUCGAAAAUUGCGAUCGCCAGCUGUCGGAGGAAAUGUUUCACCGAAUGAUGGCCAGAUCGGUAGAUCGAUCGGCAAUCGAAAGUUUUCCUUCCUUGUAAGCCCCUACUACCCUGUACUUUCUUCCCUUUUGUGUCUCCACCAGUUUCUACCUUAAGCUUUCUGCGAAUUGCGAGCGUAAUUACAAGUGCCGCGGCUGAGAAAUAUUACAGGUUUCGUCUUUCCAUGGAAUAAGAAUAACAGUGUCGCUGCAAAUCCCUUCGAGGUUGCUCGAUCGAAUAUUCUUCGCGUAAUCGUAUGUCGUUAUUCGUUCGGUCACGCGAUAGAAUGGCUAGUAGCUGGUGAAGCUCGAAAAAUUUAUCCUGAAAGCUUGUGAAAGUGCGUGCGUAUUAUUAUUAGAACGGUUUUCUAACAAGUGACGAACGUACAUAGAGAAAGGUGUUGGAGGGCCGAUCGAGGAUUUCGGAGUGUGUAACCACGGAGUUUCUGUCGUUCCACGAGUUCCAUUCGCAAUCGUGACGCUUGAUUUCGUAGCAUUGUCCGGCUCCCUGCACGCGGUCCAGUGCAUCAAAGGCGAGGAUCGCUUUCGUGUACACGGCAACGAACCAACAAAGGAAAUACGAUUUAUUUAGAGGAGUUUCAUGGAAUAACGACGCAACGAUGAUCAAUAUGAAGUUUUUUCGCGUGUUUUUGGCACUCCUAGGAGGCACGCACGUCCUCUGCGCACAACCAUCCGCAUCUCCAACUGUGAAAAGCACCGGUGGAUCAAGCCUGGCGAGCGUGGUCGCCGGAAGUAAACCUUUGAACAAGCCAGAUUUCGACGACAUCGCCCCACGAAAUGUUACUGCCAUCGUUGGUCAAACAGCGGAAUUGAAUUGCUUCGUGAAGCAUCCUGGAGACAGAGUAGUGUCUUGGAUACGUAAAAGAGAUUUACACAUACUCACGUCGUCCAUCUAUGCGUACACGGGGGACGAAAGAUUCUCCGUGAAGCAUCCCGAAGCAUCUGACGAAUGGACGUUGAAGAUCGAUUACGUUCAGCAACGUGACGCUGGGGUUUACGAAUGCCAGGUUAACACCGAGCCCAAAUUGAAUUUAGCCUUCGUGUUGAGAGUCGAAGAAAGUGCCCCUGUCCCCGCCACCACCACACCGAACGCCAUUCAUCGGACGUUCAACUCAGCCGCUCAGGCGAAAAUCCUGGGUCCGGAAGAAGUCUACGUGAAGAAGGGUAGCACGAUAAGCCUCACGUGCACCGUUAAUGUGCAAAGUACACCGCCCAGCAGCGUUUCGUGGCAUCACGGAGGAGCUGUGGUGGAUUUCGACAGUCCCAGCGUUCACCGCAGGGGCGGGGUUUCCUUGGAGACCGAGAAGACGGAAAGCGGCACGACGAGCAGACUUCUGGUGACACAAGCCAGAUUGACCGACAGCGGAAAUUACACCUGCAUUCCCAGCAACGCGAAUCCAGCCAGCGUAAUGGUCCACGUGCUGAAUGGCGAACAUCCUGCGGCGAUGCAACACGGCGGAAGUUGCGGCGUUACGCCGACCAUCUUAUUAGCGACCUUUACCCUGGUGAUAUCGAAUCUGCUAAGGUGAGCAGUAUCGUUGUGAAUCGUGCGACUUCCAAGCCACACGGUCUGAUCGAGCUCGUUUCGUGUACCGAGACAAACAUGUAUCAUCGAAACCAGGAAUCGUUGAAAAGGUAAAACGUGAACGAAGAAAACCGCGUUCUCCUUUAGGAAGCAUACGGAGGUCAUUGUGCACGAAAGAAAGAACGCGAGAUUUCGUUUUAAAUAGCAACGUGACUGGCGUUGUUAACGCGUGAGAUCAUCGGAGAUUUUCCAACGAAAAAAACAAAAGAAAGGACCUAGGCGUGGACAAAGUGCAGUGGAUCUGGCCAUGUGUGAUAAACACAGUGACACGGAAGUGGAGCUCGACUUUGCACACGAAUAUCGAUGGAUUGGUCGAUGGAUUUCUUGGAAACAUUGGAAUACCAAGCCUAGAUGAUGGAAAACGAGCAUUUGCCAUUACUGAGCAGCGUUAGUUAAAUGAAGGUGGAAUGGUGAGUAUUCUCUUCUCGAUUAUUUACUGAGGGUUGCAAGUAUUAUUAUAGUCGCGGCUACUAUUAAAUCACUAUUUUACGUGUUGGUUGUUCUUAAUUAUGUAUAUUAGCCAUUACAUUUAUCGGAAAACUUAAUUUAACGUAUUUGAACAAAUUGUAUUUUAUUCGGUAUUUUCCUGAUAUUUUUAGGCGAAAUGCAUUUUUAACGUCGCACACAAUAUGUUGUCAUAUAUCAAAGGAGAAAGGCUUUCUCUUGUACAAUUAAAUUAAUUACUGUUAGUUACAAACCAUACAUUAUCAGUAUUUUACGUUCAUAAUACCUAGAAAUCUGAGUAACGCAGCGUGCGAGACUUUGCAAAGAUUUUGCAAGUAAAUUUUAUUAAUUGUAUAAAUUAUUUGAUUAUUCUAUAUGAUGUUGAAUUUUAUGCAGGAAUUUGCACCUGUAGAAUGAUAAAAUUGAAGUUUAUGAUGUAUAACUCGUGUCUUGUCAGUUUAUUAAUGUUCUGUUUUAUUAAUGUUUAUCAAUUGAUGAAUUAUCGUGCAAGCCGGCCUUUGUUAAAAAUGAUAUUCAACUUUACAUUUAUCAUCCGAUAUCUCAUAUUUAACAGUUUAUGACGGCCAUAACUUUUGUUACGUAAUGAAAUAACUUUCAUCAUUUUUUCAUAAUUUCAUGACCCUGCAUCUUUUAUUAAUUAUUCUCCACAUAUUCUCUAUAAUUUUAUAUCUUCCGCGUACAUUUAGAAUAAAAAUGCACGAUAAAAACAAAGUAGAAUUUUGUUUUAUUUAACAUGGAAAUUACGUGAAAAAAAAUAAAGCUAUACAUGUAUCCAAUAAAAUAAUUACGCAGCCGUAGUUCAAAAGAUAAAAAAUAACCCACUCCUCGUUCACAGACCACCGUUCGAUAGUUUUAACAUAGAAAUCUCACGCACUUUGUCACUUAUUUCUGAUAACAAUAACAUAAUAUUUUCGUCAUUAUUUUACGCGUAACCGGAUAUCGUCAAUUAUAUAUACUGCACGAAUGAUAGCUAGCGUAUAAUAACGUACAAAAGUACGUAUAUCAAACAAAAAAAAAAAGAGGAAACUCCGACGAGUUAAAAAAUAGCCCGGCGGAUGAACAUCAUCACAGUGGCCCGAUUUCACGAGCAUUGUUAUGGUGAUAGAGUUCGAGAAUCAAAAAAAAAAAAAAAAAAAAAAGUAGGAGUGGAAGGGAAGAAGGAAAAGGGGCGAAAAAGAGUGGGAUGAAACACGAGCGAAUAGCAAUACGCCUGCACGAGCGAAUUUGUUACCAGGCGAGUUUUGAUACCAUUUAAUUCGUUGUUUCGACUGUGACGAAUUCAUCAUGAACGGAGGGAGGCGGGAAAACCUUCGAUUUCCAUUUAACCCAUUCAAUCUCGUUUUCACGUGUUUCUUUAACGAUCGAAAUAGGAAACGCCCCCGCCGGAUUGUUCAAUAUUUAACUGCAAGUUUUUGUAGAGUUUCGUUUUUAUCCAGGCCAGCCAAAUGCUGGAAAUGCCGAUUGGAGAUAACAAUCGAUGAAAAGCACGCGCGAUUUUCUACGUCGCAUUGCGAACAUAAUAAAUCUUAAAUUCCUUAGCUAUUCGAAAUGUUUGCAUUCGCGCGACAUAGUCGAGGGGUCACGGGGUGGGGAUCCAAGCAGGCACGCGAUAGAUUUGUAAUCAAAAACAUUCGUCUUUAGUCCUUCGACGAGUGAAUGGCAACACAACGUCGCUGUCAAUCUGGCCGUAUUAUUUUUGUAAGCGCGUGUGUAGAAUAUUGCGCGUAGUGAUGCAUUGUAAAGCCUAAUCUCAAUCUCUUAUCUCCGGUAAUGUGUAUGGAAGAAUAAUUCUUAAACUCUGUAAGAAAAUUCUGUUCUAAAAAUUUCUCUGUGUUCCUGUGAGCUUACUCGAAAGAGGAAACUUAUGGAGUGGGGAUAGAAGCUCGCAAGCCUUCAUCGACGUUAUAUGUCUUUGAUCCUUCGACAGGUGAAUGUCAACACAACAUCAAGUGCAUUUUACGAACUAUACUGUGGAUGAAUAACAUCGCGAGUUUGGAAUUUAACAUCGUGAGACAAUAAAGUAAAAAGAUACUAAAUUAUGAAUUAUGUAAAAAGAUUUCUGUGCUCGUGUGACUAACUUUGUCCAUAGGAGAAAUUUCUGGAACGAAUAAAGCAGAAGCAGGUAAGCGUUCAUCGGCAUCAGAUGCCUUUUAAUUCUUCAACGAGUCGAAUUUAAACACGGAAACAUUUUCAUUGUUCGUCGAGUAAAUUUCGCUUAAUAUAAUUGUCUAUAUAAUAUCGCAAGUAAUCCUGAAAUAUAUUUUCUAUCUCGGGAAUCUACGGUGAAGGUACAGAAUCUUAAAUUCCGUAGAAAAAUUUCGUGCUAGAAAUUUCUGUAUUCGUACGACUUUGUCCAUAGGAGAAACUUAUGGAGUGGGGUUAAGAGAUACAGCGUUCGUCGACGCCAUGUGUCUUUGACUCUUUGACGAGUCAAUGUCAACACGACGACGAGUGGACUUCUCGUGCUAUGCUUCGGCGUGGAAUCUCGUGUAGAGUGUAGAGGCACAUGACGACAACUUUUGAUGGAAUUCGUGAACUGGAUACGAAGCGGACUGCUUCAAAGAACCUGAAUCGGAAAUAUCCGACUGGAUGAUAGAGAGGAACGUCGUUUGUCACGACAAAAUACCCUUUCUGGAAGUUGCCGAGGAAAACAAUUAGAUGACCUAUCGCAUGAUUCUAUCGACAUCCUUCAAGCAGCAACCUGCCAGAUGGAAGUAAAGUAUGAAGCCAGAUGGCGUCGACGUUUUGCCAGACACACAUCGCGUUCCAGAAUUUAAUUGGGGAGACAAAAGGCUAAAAGGGGGCGAGGAGGAAGAGAGACGAUGAAAGACGAAGAGAAAGGACAAAAAUGUUAGAACUCCCUUACUGGUGACUGGAACAAAUACUUUCGUCUGUUUUAUUUCUUUGCUGUUCGAGGAACUGUGUCAUGCGUCGUCAAUGUUUCAGGCAAAAUAAUAGCAGGCGAAAGAAUUCCGUGCAAGCGAAGGCGAGACAGUUCGAGACAAUGGAGUUUUUAAGCAAACAUUCAAUUUCACAGUCGACCGCAUGACGAAAUUAUCAAAAUUGUAACAAUGCAGCGGGAGAGGCACAAUGACGAAGAAUCACGCGACAGUCAAAG